GUGUCAGCCGCCGCGGUAAUACGGAGGGGGCUAGCGUUGUUCGGAAUUACUGGGCGUAAAGCGCACGUAGGCGGCUUUGUAAGUCAGAGGUGAAAUCCCGGGGCUCAACCCCGGAACUGCCUUUGAGACUGCAAGGCUCGAAUCCAGGAGAGGUGAGUGGAAUUCCGAGUGUAGAGGUGAAAUUCGUAGAUAUUCGGAAGAACACCAGUGGCGAAGGCGGCUCACUGGACUGGUAUUGACGCUGAGGUGCGAAAGCGUGGGGAGCAAACAGGAUUAGAUACCCCCGUAGUCC
rnacentral:rRNA from 1 species